CGCGAUCUAGGCUUAAUGCAACCUCGUCUCCCGGGUUCAAGCGAUUUUCCCGCCCCAGUCUCCCGAGUAACUGUGACUGCAGCUCUGGAUUAAUCGAAUUACAGCUGCUAGCCAGGAACAUGGACUGAAGUAUCCAGCGCUCAUUGGGAAUUUAGUUAAGUGCCAGGUGGAGCUCAACAGGAAAGUCCUAGCGGAUCUGGCCAUCUACGAGCCAAAGACUUUCAAAUCUUUGGCUGCCUUGGCCAGUAGGAGGCGACACGAAGGAUUUGCUGCUGCCUUGGGGGAUGGGAAGGAACCUGAAGGCAUUUUUUCCAGAGUGGUGCAGUACCACUGAGGACUGUUGCUGUAUUGAUUAGGAAAAGAGACAGAGUAAUUUGCAGUUUGUUUGAUUUAUACUUUUGUUUAUCUACAACCCAAUAACAGACAUGAGGGAUGGCCCUGUCUCUCUGGGACAGAGCCUCACAGAUGAUGUCCAUGUUUUGUGUGAAUGAAACUCAAACACUC
rnacentral:lncRNA from 1 species